rfam:Eutrema salsugineum unplaced genomic scaffold scaffold_3, whole genome shotgun sequence.
AAACCAUGAUGGGGGCAAUCUCACUGAUACAACUUGAAUCUCAGCCAUGCGGCUUUGAAUGCCUCAAUCGGUCCUUGAGAGAAAGUGGAGAUUUUGAGUCUCAGUUC